GUGAAGAGCCCCACGUCCAGGCCUGGUAGUUAGAUAAAAGCCUUUCUAACCACCAAUGGGAUAAUGGCGCCUACGGCGUCGACGCCCUUCUGGACUUCACUGAAGGUAGACAACUAAAGCGUGACCUCUAUGUCGAAGGCGCCGACAGUCGCCGAUUUUGGGUUGUUUCGUUUACGCACGCACUGCUAGUUUUUAAAGAAAUUAUUUAUAAAUUUACUAACUCUGACCUAGAAGAGCGAUAAUGAAGCUAUUUUUAGGUGUUUACGCAUGUUGGAAUGAAUUUUUUAGAUUUUUUGAAAAUUACGUUUUUUUUUUGCUAGCCUUCAAAAUGGAACAUAUUUAGGCUUAUGUGUAGGCUUUAAUAGAAUAAGAUUCUAAUGGGAAUAUUAAUGUUUCAGCUGUAGAAUAUGGAUAUAAAUAAUGAUUGUGGGGCAACUUCAAAACUACUUUGUCAACUAUCCAGAGAUUCAGGGGAAUGAAAUCUUAGACUAUUUAUAAUUAAGAUGUUCCUUCAGGGUUGAAAACAACUACAUUCUAGCUUGAACGUCCCACAAGAAGAUGUGGGGUGGCAGCAGGCAGGGGUCUAACCUAGGAUCAUGGAGACCACCAAACGAUAGUCCAGAGUGUAUAUGAUUGAUUGAGUAGACAAAGAAGGGAUGGAUUACUGGAGCUAAAAGAAGGCAUAAUUUAACAAUAGACUACUUUGGGCUGCCAUUAUCCAAGAACAUAUGAUUCUCUGGAGGCUUACAUCACUGGAAAAAGUCUUUGGGCCCCUGAAGAUUACAGUACAUGUAAUGCUGCAAAAGGAGGAGGAUGCUGGGCCAGGAGUUGAAGAUAGUUUACUUCCUAGUCCAAACCUCCCUCAGGGUGACGGGGGAUGGGAGCAGGCAGGGUUUGAACUAGAGACCAUCGAUAAAUCCGAUCGACAGUCCAGCGCGCAAACUGCACGACCUGGCAGUCAGGAUCGUUAUCUGGGUAACUAUUGUCUGAUAAAUUGAAAUAAUGAUUAAGUCUAGAAGAAGUAAAACUAUGGCAUGCAUCCUGUUUGGAACUAUCUAUUCACCUAAAUUAAUUCCACUAACUUCGAUAGUAAAGCAGUUUACUUGCUAUGUUGUGAGUCUUUUUUUUAAAAAAGAUUUUAAAAAAUGAAACAUUUGUUGGUGCUUCUGCUCUGACACUGAAAAAAAAGUAGGUCUGUUGAAGUUAAUGAAUAAUAAAAACAAAGAAGAAUAUCCUGAUUAUACAUGAUUACAUUUUGUAGUGUCAUUCAAUAAGGAAAUCUACUUGAAUUGUAAGCAUGUUUCUAACCCUAAAUAUUUACUAUAUAAAUAAAUUAUGGCUUUCAUAUAGUGCUACUUUCAUGCUUAUAGCAUGCUCAGAGCACUAUGGUCCAAUCUCAUUUGUGGACCAGUGGGAGUAGGUUUUCUAACUGCCUUAAAGCACUCAGUAAACACAACUCAACUCAAGUUGUGUGUCGAACCUCUUGCCCCCUUCAUAGGCAGCCAAGCUAAGCCAAGUUCAAGCGUAGUUGGCCUCUUGACCACGCUUCCUACUAGGCUCGAUUGGUUACCUUGGUUGUGGAAAAGGAAAUAUUUAAAGUUCUUGAAGUGUUCAGUAUCCUCAUUUUGUAAUUAAACCUGAUGCAUGAUGGACAUUAAUAUUUUUACUUUAUAUUUUCAUAUGUUUCCAACUGUGAAUUGCCUCUUACUUUAAAAUUUAGCUCUAGCUGGAUAACUUUGUGCAAUAGAAAAAUUAUGUUUAGAUUUUGGAAAUUAUAAUUUAUGUGCUACAUCUUAAAUUCACUAUAUACUUGUAGAACUAUUGCUUGGAAUCUAAUUGCAAGUUUCUACUGUCGACUGUCAUACUAGAUAUGGUCUUAUGACUGCAUUAGAACCGAAACUAUAAUGGAAUCUAAUUGCAAGUUUCUACUGUCGACUGUCAUACUAGAUAUGGUCUUAUGACUGCAUUAGAACCAAAACUAUAAUGUUUGCCCCCUCCCUCCCUUCAUAUGGAAAGCAGGUAAAUCUUUCAUUUAGAGCCUAAUUAUAUAACCCUUACCGUAUUUAUACAAUAAAAGUGUACUGAGCAUGUUAUAGUAAAAAGAAGACACAUUAUAGAAAUCUUAUACAUAAGAAUUUGGAUACCAAGAAAAAAAAUCUUUUCUCUAGUGAAACUAGAUCUGUAUGGAUAAUGGUUUGCUUUUAAUCUUUAACAAUACAGCCAAUCAACCUUACUGGUACAUCUGGUAACAGGUACAUCUCUUAUGGCUAAAAUGACCAGUGUGUGUGUUUUGUAUCAAGGAUAUGCAUGUUGUUGGUUUUGAAAAAAUGUUUGAUGUGACUGCCAAGGCUUUUUACAAAUCUUUUGUAUGUGUGUAUGUGGUUUUUUUUUUCUAUUUUUUUUAAUUUUGUAUUGUAAUCGGAAUUCUUAAAUGGUGGGAAAAAAAUGUAAACCACUAUUUUGACUGUCAAAAACAGUAAACCUAAAAAAAAAUGAAUUUUGUAGUUUUAAACAAAUUGAAUCACACUUAUAACAUAUAUAAAAUAUAGAUUUAUAACAUAUUGAAUCACACUUAUAAUACAUACAGGCUGGCUGCCUGGUCGUGUGGUAUAUUGUUUGGACUUCUCGAUGGUCCUGGGUUAAUACCCUGCCUGCUGUCAUCCUGCUGGAAGUUAGGACUAGGAAGUAAAUUAUCUUCAACUCUGAAGGAACAACUAAAAUAUGUGAAACAUUUUACAAACAUUUUUUUGUCUUCCUUUCUCAACACAUACAACUCAAUUUACUUCUAUUGGCUGGAAAUAUUUAAAGCAUGACAGUGGCGUAGGUAAAUUACCAAAUAGUGGAUCUUAUGUUGGAUUGAUCAGCCCUGAUGAACUGACCUGACCAUUGUAAUUGAAACCAUAACUCAUGACCACUCUAUCUGUAUAGGUCCUGGUAUUCCCUGGGAUGAUGUUCACCCACAACUUUUAACUUGAAAUCUUAAAGGAAGUUUUGCUAAACUAACAAGCAUGAAUGUCUGGUACAGUAAGAUAGGGUUAAUGGUCAACCUGACAUUAUGGUUCAUUCAUUGGGACAGCUAAUGUUUGUGUCUGACCAAGCAGUUCUCAAGUUAGGGCUUGAUGAAGUCUACAAACUGACCAUUAUAUCUACUGGACAAAAAAAGAUCUUAUAUGUAUAUUUUAAACCUGGUCAAUGCCUAUUUCUCCACUAUUGUCGACAUCUUGAGACAUCACCAUCGGCAGAAACCGAAGACGGCUGAUACAUUUGUGUGGGUGAAAAACUGAAGGCAUCGCUCGAAGACAGCUGAUACAUUUGUGUGGGUGAAAAACUCAAGGCUUCGCUCGAAGACAGCUGAUACAUUUGUGUGGGUGUAAAAUUCAAGGCGUCGCCUGAAGACAGAUGAUACAUCGUUUCCACGUGAGCGCUCGUCACCAACUUUUGACACGCUCUUGCAUUGUCGAGGUUUCACCUUACAUUGCUAUACAGAAGGUCUUUCAUUUAGACCUCUGUUCACUUAUGGUCAUUCUAAUUUUUCAGAGACUUUACAUAUUUGGAUUAUCUAAGCUGAAGUUCUCCACUUAAGUACUGUUGGAUUAUUUAUACGAAUGUUCAAGUACUUUUGGAUUAUUGAUCUUUGACGUUGAAGUUGGACUAACUUGUACCUAUUGGCGCUCUCCUAGUCAUCGUUGUACGACGAAGAAAUAACACAUGCCUGCAUUACUACACUUACAUUUUGGAUUAUCUUAUUGGAUUAUUUGGAUUACCUGUUGGACUUGUGUUAAUUGUAAAGGUCAAGAGGAAAUAUUUUUUGACAUUACUUGAGCAUUUGAGCCAUCUUAUGGCAUAUGACUGGAUUAUUUUACUACUACUUUGAUGCUCACAUUGAUGUGUAUUCUCAAUCGAAUUACUUAGUUACCUUACCCAUGGAUUAUUAUUGAACUACUCAAGCUGUAUUUGUAUUUGACAAGCUACAAGAGAGGAUUAAUCUACAUCAGUCUACAAAAGAAAGUCUGUAAGUUAUAAUUAAGGAUUGAAUAUAUUCAUAUGAUUAAUAAAGUACAUUGAUUUUGCUGUGGUAUAGCAGUAAUUGAAGUUGAUUAUAUGUAGAGUUAGUGAUUGAUAACUCUUGGAACCAUAUUAAAUUGAUUUUCAUUUUUUAUAUUUGUUACCUUAAAGGGCGGUCGGCGUGGGUCUGUCUUAUGUUUUGAGACUGAAUCGGCACAAUUUAUUUGUUCCGUUCCAUUUCACUUCAUCUGAUAGGGAUCUUUAGGGAUUUUCUUGUUGUUCUCCUAGUCCUAAUAAGGUCCGAGUAGACCAGCCUUGUUCGGUAGGGACUUCUAGAUCAUUUUGAAAUUUUUUGUUUAGUGGUAUAUAGUUUUGUUUGUACAAUCGUAGUGUGAUUUCUCUUUGUAUUCAUAUUGUUUGUUUGUGUAAGUCUUGUAUUUACAUAUCUGUGAUUCUCUUGUCAAAGUCUUCUAUUUAUUGAUUUCUUUUAAAGCAGACUGUAUUGUUAUCUAUAUUGUUUUUGUGUUCGUCACCUAUACUUUAAUUUAUCUCUUUAUUCUCUCAUUAAUUAAUUUUUUUUUCAUUUUUUCACUGCACAUAUAACAUGUUACAAAGAUAUAUUUGAAGUAAUAAUAUUGUGUACAUAUAUACUAUCACUUGAAUUAGAGCCUUAUUUUUUGAGCUCUUGUACUUAUUUUGUAUUGACACAUUUCUCGUACUCUGAUUAUUUUGUUGGUACAUUUUGACGCAACACUUAUUACUAUUGACUCAUUUGUACAUUGUAUUUGGCACACAUUGAUUACAAACUCAACACAUUUAUUGGCCAUCUAUUAUUUAAAUAUCAAAGAUACAUGCAAAGUGAGACAUUAUUAUUUGUAUUUUGAUAACUAAGCACUCACUACACAGUUAAUACUACAUACAGAUUGGAAUCCUAUAUAUUUGUUGACUUUAUACACGUUGAAGAUUAUUUAAUAUUUAUUGACAUUAUACACACUUGAAGCCUAAACCCAUACCUAUCAACAAUGUCUAUCUAUGAUAAAAUCUUGGAGUUGGCCAGAGAAAUGGAAUUGAAGGGUGAAAAGAAAAGAGAAUUUAUCGAAAGAGAAUUGGAUGAAUUAAAGAAGAAAGAACGUGAAGUAGCGGAACGAGCGGCAGAAAGAGCGCAUCAGAAAGAAAUAGAGGGAAAAGUUGAGUUAGCUAAACUGGAAGCUGCAAAAGUGAAUCCGAACAUAUUACAACCACUGACACAGCAAGCCAAACCAUACGUCUCGAAGUUCCAUAAGUUCAAUGAGAAAAACGAAACUCUUGAAAACUACAUUGUGCAAUUUGAGCACAUAGCCUCAACGUAUGACAUGUCUCCUAGAGAUAUGGCCAAGCACCUACUCGCCAAUCUUGCAGGUGAACCGCUGAACAUAAUAGCCACCCUGACACCCGAACAAAAGACUGACUACAAGGCUGUGAAAAACAGACUCCUCGAACACUUUGGCAAAUCCGAGGACCACUACAGAAAACUCUUUCGAGACAUCAGAUUGCAAAAGAACGGUGAUUACAACAGAAUUAUUUUUUAAAUUAAGCAAAAUAUCUUAAAGUGGCUUGAACUCUCCAACUGUGAUAUGACGAGACCAGACCAAAUCAUUGAUAUGUUCUUAAUUGACAGUGUACUAUUGAAUGUUACAGACAACAUUUUCACUUUCCUGAAAGAGAAGAAAAUUAAAAACGAAACAGAACUCAUAACUAACCUGAAUUUAUUCAAAGACAGCCAUCCCAAUCACACCAUCGACAGAAGAGACCAUCAAAUAGCUGCCACCAUUAACACUGAUUCAAGUAAAUUCAAAUACAGCAGCAACAAUAAAACCUGCUUUAACUGCGGCAUAAAGGGUCACAUAAAGAGCCAAUGUAGAUCAAUCAACAGAAGCACUUUCCAGUAUCAAAGUGGCACAUAUCGAGACAAUAAAUAUGACAACAGAAGAAACAGCAGAGCAAACCAAAGUUACAGCCCUAAUGAUAGAAGAAGGCAAUACAACACCAACAACGAUAAUUACAACUUCCAGAACUAUCAAAGAAGACAGCAAUACAAUACCAACAACUUUCAGAACUAUUACAGACAAUCCAGACGUGAUGGCUACGAACGAAACAGAUACAACAGAAAUACUUCAAACAGAUGGCAAAGUAACAGCAACAAUAGAAUCCAUUAGAAUCCAUAGACGCCCUAGCAGUUAUGACAACUCAGCCGCAACCAUCGACACUCACGAACACGAACAUGUAGCAUUCAUGAACUCAACUCUAGAAAAUAAUUCCUAUCCAUUACUUACAAACGGGCUGGACAACGCAUCACGAAACAGUAACAUUAGAACUGGAAACACACAUGACACAAGUAGUUAGCAAGCUAGACAUAGGGCAGCACAACAUACAAUUUUGUUUAUUAUACAAUAGGAUACAACACCAUCACAAAAUCACUAAAUAUCAGUAAUAUAACUAAACAAUGACAUUGUUCACAUAAGUCAACAACUAUAAUUAUCACACUAUUUUACAUAAGACUAGCACCGUUAAGGACUCAUUAGCCAGUACAAGUGUAAUUCAUUGAAUCUGUUCUACAUAUAACUUUGAUUGUAUUUGUACACAUGACACUUCAAAAGGUCAUAUGUGCCCAAUUUUUGCAUAUGUGUAAAUUAUUUUUCCAAGAGUCCAUUUGAACAGAACGCAGUCAUAUUAAAACCUGAGUAUGUGACACUAUUUAUUGAAAUGUAUUUUUCAUUUUUUCAAAUGUACAUAACCUUUGUAAAUUGUAUAGAUAUGACUGUGACAUUGAUCUUCACUGAUGAAUUUAUUUUUUCCCACAUAUCAGUUUUGAAGACUAUUUGAGCUUAAUUCGAGGCUUGAAACGAUACACUUGAUGAUAUGUAAUGCAAACAAUGAUUUUUUGAAAAGAAUAUUGUAUUUAAUUAGUGAGAUGUAUUUGAGCAUUACUGAUGGCUUGAAAAAUAAUUGAUACUGUGUAAAGCAAACUGAAUCUUUGAAUAGAAGAUUGUACUUAAUAUGAGAAGUAUUGGAGCAUUAUUGAUGGCUCAUGAAGUAAUAUAUAUAAUGUGUGAUGUAAUCGCUGAUUUUUUUAGGAGAAGAUUGUAUUUAAUAUGAGAAAAUUAUUUGAGCAUUAUUGAUGGCUCGUGAAGCAAUACAUUUGAUGUGUGUCGUAGACACUGACUUUUUGAGAAGAUUGUAUUUAAUAUGAGAAAAUUAUUGGAGCAUUAUUGAUGGCUCGUGAAGUAAUAUAUUUGAUGAUGUGUGAUGUAGACACUGAUAUUUUUUGAGAAGAUUGUAUUUAAUGACAAAACUUUUGCAGCAUUAUUGAUGGCUCAAGCAGUAUAUUUUAUAUUAUGUGAUGAUAACACUAAUUUUGAGAAGAAUAUUGUAUGGAUAUGAGAAAACUAUCGAAGCAUGAUUAAUGGCUCGAAGUAAUAUACUUGAUUUUUGAAAGAACAUUGUACUUGAUUCAUGAAGACUAUUGGAGCACUAUUAAUGGCUCAAAGUAAUAUAUUUGAUUUUUGAAUAGAACAUUGUAUUUGAGUGAUGAAGACUAUUAGAGCACUAUUAAUGGCUCAAAGUAACAUAUUUGAUGUUACAUAACGUGAAAAGCUGAUUCAUUUUUUCGAGAGAAGAUUGUAACUUACACUUAUGUUAAAAGAACUUUUUGUGCUCACAGUAAGACAUAUGAGCCAAAUGAAUAUCAUGAUAACGACCUUGAUGCUUUAAUAUGCUUAUGACUUUGAUGAUUUAAAUAUGUUCCUCAUAAAUCAUCAUUAAAGAAUAUAUUUUCUUGACUUUCAUGAUUUAGUAGCAUUGUCAAAACAUUGCCAUUAUUUUUGUACAUAAACCAUUGAGACAACAUAAAUAUUUAUUAUAGAUACAUUUCACUUGCAUUGAUUUAUUUUAAAGAACAUUGUCAAUAUCUUUUCAUUUGACCAUGUAACCAUUGUCAAUAUUUUUCAUUUGAUUAUGUAACCUGAUGGGAUAAACUAAGUAUAUUUGUAUACGAGCAUUUUUCAUGGCUGCUCAUUCCUUUGUAAAAUUAAUAUUGAAAGCAUUCUUUUGAUAAAUUGAGAAUUUACUUUGAAAUUUUGUGUAAAGAAACACUUGCUUUUUGAGUAAUGUUGACAACUAUGAGUAUUGUCUACACAGACAAAUAUUUUUUCAAAUAUUGUAAGGUCAAAUGAGACCAUAUAUUAGUCUCAUCAAAUUUUUUGAUGGCAUGAUAAGACAUGUGCCAGAGAUUAUAGCACACAUUGUACAUUUGUAUGGAUUAUUUCUCUCUCAAAAGAUGUGACUAUACAUAUAAUAGUAUUAUUACUUAAAUUUCAAAAGAUUUUUACAAAAUCUUUUUUUUUUGAGGGAAAGGGCGUAAUGUCACAGUCUUAGUUGACAUUGCAUGAUCUAAAGUUCACAUCAUGUUAAUAGUUUAAAAGACACGUGGAAUUCCUAAUGUAGAAAACAGGAAGUAGAAUGAAUAAAGUUGACUUUGAAGUCAGUCAGUCAGUCAAGUAAAGCAGUCAAGUGAAGUCAAGUUAGAAGUCAAGUGUUAUUCUUUGGACCGAGUGGUCAAGUAUAUUUUAGUCCGGGAUGGACAGUAGCGACUUAGAAAAGUCUGUAGUAAUUUCAGUUAGAAAAUAACUUGUGGGCAGUUGUUGCCAGUGGUCUUUUGAGACAUGUAUUAGUUAAUCUAUAUUUCUACACAGUGUUGCCCGCUGAGAUGCAGACAUGAUUUGUUGUUAACGUAUUGGAUACUUUUGAUACCGCUGUUAUGCGGAUAGGAUUAUUAUUUCUUGACUUGUAGCACUAACAAGGAGUGCAGUAUAUUAUUAUUAUUAUAGUAAAAUAAACUUCAUGUUGUCUGCUGAACAGACUUGAGUCAGUCGUAUAGUGUUUGUCUUGUCACGUGUCUAGAGUACUUCAGGAAGUAAGAACUCAAUAUUACACCAUUCAACGUUCAUUGACAGACCCCCUCCCUCCCAACCAUUUCCUCUGCCUUAUCUUGAUGACUUUGACUUUAAUUAGACAUUAAGCUUUCCAUGUGCUGAAAUUUAGCAUUGUAGAACGGGAAAUAAAUUGUCUAUGACAGUUCAAAGUGUGUAUACAUUUUUUUUGACGCACCCUGUAAAUAUAUUGUAUUCAGUGAUUUUUUUAUUUUACCAUUUUCUAAUAUUAGUUUGUUAGCUCAAUAACUAUUAACCUUUUAGAUUGUUAUCUUUCAUAAUGUUAAGACUAGAAAACAAGAUCUCAAAAUUAUAUUUAGGAUGAUGAUUACAAUUACUUAGUCAAUUACUUAGAUAAAAUAAUUAUAAAACAAAUGUUAUAUAAAGACAUAAUUAUACAAUGUUUAUAUAAUGUAUGUUCAUAAAAAUGUGUAUAGCAGUGUUAUGGAGUGUGUGUGUGUGGGUGUUUCCAAGGUAACGUUGAGAAAUUAGCGAUUGGUUGGCGGAUAUGCAGUGAGGAUGGUGAAAUUACAAAAAUGGUCUAGUGUAAUGCAAAUUACCCAGGGAUCUGAAACUGUACAGACAGGUUUUUUGUAGUGAGUUAGAUUUUGUUUAAAAUACCAUUUUAUAUUAUUGCUACUAGAUUUAUUUCAUUUCAUCUAGGUUAGUAUUAGGGUUAGUGUUAUGUUGUAAUAAAAGUCAUAUUUAGUUUUGUUUCAAAAAAGAAGUUUUUUCAAGUUUCACAAUUAAAUAUAUAUAUAUAUCCAAGCAGUAGUUCUCACCAAACUUUCAUACACUGGCAGAACUACCUUAAAAAAAUGUUCUGCUGGAGGCUGGUGUGGGUAGUAUAGAAGAAAUACUUAUCAUUCAACAGCUGUGAUGGGUUGGAAAAUUAUCCCACAUGGGGGGCGACUGCAUGCCAAAUGGUAUCUUCAAGGAUGGCGUAACGGGGUGCUCCUGUAAGCACUAUAAAGAUUAACUCAGGCACCUUUUUGCCAUAGAGGAAAGUAGGUUGUAAUAGGGUUUAUGAAAACACUGCACUCAUCCUUUAUCUUCAGCAUCAUUAUUAUUAUUAAACCAUUACUCAAAUUUUGCUUUGUUAUUUUGCCAUGUAGAGAUUUACUGCUGGGGUGAACAAUGCUUAAAAAAAUACAAAUAUGCUGUGUUUUUACUUUGGCCCAGCGGUGGCUCCCACAUUUAUGUCUUUUGUAUUUUUCUAUUAUACCAGUUCUGUUACUGUGCAAAUGCAAAAAAAAAAAAAAAAAUACAAGUUGUUGCACUAUUGAUAUUUUUUAUACUAAUUUUUUAUUUAUAUUAUUAAUUAUUUAUUAUUAUCUAAGCAUCUGUUUGUAUUUGAAUAUAGAUUCUUAAAUUUAAUUGUUGUUUGUUGCUUUCCUCACUUUUAAACUGUGACCAUGUAAAUUUUGUCUAGAUGGAGAAUGGUAAUGUAUUAGUGUCAAUGAUUACAUUGAGAAUGGUAAUGUCUUAGUGCCAAUGAUAACAGUUAGACAAUCAUUAGAUUGAGGAUGGUAAUGUCUUAGUGUCAAUGGUGUAACACUAUGAUUAGAGUGAGAUGGACGAGAUGAUUUCAGUUCACGUGAAAAUGGGUCUUACACAUUGUCAAGCAAAGAGGUACCAUUUUUGAUCACACGACCACGUUUUUUUUUAGUAAGUUAGCGCCAUGAUGUAUCAAGAGAUGGAGGUGUCUCUGUUUUAUGAAAUUGGAUUAAAUAAUAUGAGUACCUAAUUGGAGCUUUUUCUAUGGAUGUAGUUUGUAUUUGAUAUGAAAUAAUUCGUGAUGCUAUUUUAUGGCUGAGAUUGCCUACUUUCUGAACUAUUAUUUGAUGUAAUAAAUAUUUGUCUGACA